rnacentral:rRNA from 1 species
UAUGUGAUCGUCUCUCGCAUAUCAAUAAGCGGAGGAAAAGAAACUAACAAGGAUUCCCCUAGUAACGGCGAGUGAAGCGGGAAGAGCUCAAAUUUGAAAUCUUAAAGGGUUUCCCUUUACGAAUUGUAGUUUAAAGAAGUGUUUUCUGUUGAGGUUUCGGUAAAAGUUCUUUGGAAUAGGACAUCAUAGAGGGUGAGAAUCCCGUAUUUGACCUUUACUUUCAACUUUGUGAUACACUUUCAAAGAGUCGGAUUGUUUGGGAAUGCAGUCCAAAAUGGGUGGUAAAUUUCAUCUAAAGCUAAAUAUUGGCGAUGAGACCGAUAGCGAACAAGUACCGUGAGGGAAAGAUGAAAAGAACUUUGAAAAGAGAGUUAAACAGUACGUGAAAUUGUCAAAAGGGAAGCGUUUGACACCAGUGUUGUUUUUCUGAAAAUCAAUUAAAGAACUGUCUAUGCUAAGUUGUUUAGACUUUAUCAGCUAUCUGCUUAGUUUUGAGCUUUUCUUUAAUGCACUUUUCAGUUAACAAGUCAACAUCAAUUUCUUUUGCUGUAAAAAAGCUUGAGGAAGGUGGCUUGAGAUUCGUCUUAAGUGUUUAUAGCCUCUUGCCUAUGCAGUCGGAGAGAUUGAGGUCUGCAGCGUAGAUCCUUCGGGGCUAAAUGCAUUUGUGCUAAGUUAUAACAUUUUAUAGACAACUUGUUGACUAUGAUUUGUCUUGUAGCUUACUCGCUUAUGUUAUUUUACCUACGCUUAGGAUGUUGAAGAUAUGCGCGACACG